UGGGGAAUAUUGGACAAUGGGCGAAAGCCUGAUCCAGCCAUGCCGCGUGUGUGAAGAAGGUCUUCGGAUUGUAAAGCACUUUAAGUUGGGACGAAGGGCAGUAAGCGAAUACCUUGCUGUUUUGACGUUACCGACAGAAUAAGCACCGGCUAACUCUGUGCCAGCAGCCGCGGUAAUACAGAGGGUGCAAGCGUUAAUCGGAAUUACUGGGCGUAAAGCGCGCGUAGGUGGUUCGUUAAGUUGAAUGUGAAAGCCCCGGGCUCAACCUGGGAACUGCAUCCAAAACUGGCGAGCUAGAGUAGGGCAGAGGGUGGUGGAAUUUCCUGUGUAGCGGUGAAAUGCGUAGAUAUAGGAAGGAACACCAGUGGCGAAGGCGACCACCUGGGCUCAUACUGACACUGAGGUGCGAAAGCGUGGGGAGCAAACAGG
rnacentral:rRNA from 1 species